AGAGCUAACAACUAGCAUACUGGUCAAAUCCAGAAUUAUGCAGUGACAAGACACUGUUGAAUGCAAUGAAGGUAAUAACACAGAAUGCUCACAUACUCACAGAGCUUGCUGGUACCAUCAUGCAUUCAUUCACAGCCACCCAACUGAAGAAGUGGAGAAGGCUGCUGGCCUGUUGUAUCCUGACUGGUAUGUAUUUCUCCAUCCAGCUUAUGAAACCGACUCAUGUUGUCUGGCACAGACAGAGCUUCUAUGAUGCAUCCACUUUGUAAAAAAUAAAUGAAACUUUAUUACAUUAUUAUUAGAGAGA
rnacentral:lncRNA from 1 species